rnacentral:tRNA from 1 species
GCGGGGAUGGUGAAAUUGGUAGACACGCCAGAUUUAGGUUCUGGUGCCGAGAGGCUUGGGGGUUCGAGUCCCCCUUCCCGCA